AGAGUUUGAUCCUGGCUCAGGAUGAACGCUGGCGGCCUGCUUAACACAUGCAAGUCGAACGAAGCACUGAAAGCAGAUUACUUCGGUUUGAAGCUUUCUCUGACUGAGUGGCGGACGGGUGAGUAACGCGUGGGUAACCUGCCUCAUACAGGGGGAUAACAGUUAGAAAUGACUGCUAAUACCGCAUAAGCGCACGGUUUCGCAUGGAACAGUGUGAAAAACUCCGGUGGUAUGGGAUGGACCCGCGUCUGAUUAGCUGGUUGGCGGGGUAACGGCCCACCAAGGCGACGAUAAGUAGCCGGCCUGAGAGGGUGAACGGCCACAUUGGGACUGAGACACGGCCCAAACUCCUACGGGAGGCAGCAGUGGGGAAUAUUGCACAAUGGGGGAAACCCUGAUGCAGCGACGCCGCGUGAAGGAAGAAGUAUUUCGGUAUGUAAACUUCUAUCAGCAGGGAAGAAAAUGACGGUACCUGACUAAGAAGCCCCGGCUAACUACGUGCCAGCAGCCGCGGUAAUACGUAGGGGGCAAGCGUUAUCCGGAUUUACUGGGUGUAAAGGGAACGUAGGCGGUGCAGCAAGUCAGAAGUGAAAGCCCGGGGCUCAACUCCGGGACUGCUUUUGAAACUGUUGAACUAGAUUGCAGGAGAGGUAAGUGGAAUUCCUAGUGUAGCGGUGAAAUGCGUCCCUAUUGAAAGGAACACCAGUGGCGAAGGCGGCUUACUGGACUGUAAAUGACGCUGAGGCUCAAAAGCGGNGGCCCUAGUGGGAUUAGAUACCCUGGUAGUCCAAACCGUAAACCCUUUGUAGGAGGUGUCAGGGAGCCAGACUCUUGCGAACAGCAGCAAACGCAGUAAGUAUUCCACCCUGGGGAGUACGUUUGCAAGAAAUGAACUUCAAAGGAAUUGACGGGGACCCGCACAAGCCGUGGAGCAUGUGGUUUAAUUCGAAGCAACGCGAAGAACCUUACCAAGUCUUGACAUCCGGAUGACCGGAACUUAACCGUUCCUUCCCUUCGGGGCAUCCGAGACAGGUGGUGCAUGGUUGUCGUCAGCUCGUGUCGUGAGAUGUUGGGUUAAGUCCCGCAACGAGCGCAACCCUUAUCUUUAGUAGCCAGCGGAGGAAGCCGGGCACUCUAGAGAGACUGCCAGGGAUAACCUGGAGGAAGGUGGGGAUGACGUCAAAUCAUCAUGCCCCUUAUGAUUUGGGCUACACACGUGCUACAAUGGCGUAAACAAAGGGAAGCGAGCGUGUGAAUGUAAGCAAAUCUCAAAAAUAACGUCUCAGUUCGGAUUGUAGUCUGCAACUCGACUACAUGAAGCUGGAAUCGCUAGUAAUCGCGAAUCAGCAUGUCGCGGUGAAUACGUUCCCGGGUCUUGCACUCACCGCCCGUCA
rnacentral:rRNA from 1 species